rnacentral:rRNA from 1 species
UACGGAGGGUGCUAGCGUUGUUCGGAAUCACUGGGCGUAAAGCGCGUGUAGGCGGCCCACUAAGUCUGAUGUGAAAGCCCGGGGCUCACCCCCGGAAGUGCAUUGGAAACUGGUGGACUCGAGUCCCGGAGAGGAGAGUGGAAUUCCUGGUGUAGCGGUGAAAUGCGUAGAUAUCAGGAGGAACACCGGUGGCGAAGGCGGCUCUCUGGACGGUGACUGACGCUGAGACGCGAAAGCGUGGGGAGCAAACAGG